AGUGAACGCUGGCGGCGCGCCUAACACAUGCAAGUCGAACGAGAAGGCGUAGCAAUACGCUUGUAAAGUGGCGAACGGGUGAGGAAUACGUGGGUAACCUACCCUCGAGUGGGGAAUAACCAACCGAAAGGUUGGCUAAUGCCGCGUACGCUUCCAUCUCUUCGGAGGUGGAAGGAAAGCUGUACCGUGGGUACAGCGCUCAAGGAUGGGCUCACGUCCUAUCAGCUUGUUGGUAGGGUAACGGCCUACCAAGGCAACGACGGGUAGCUGGUCUGAGAGGACGAUCAGCCACACUGGCACUGCGACACGGGCCAGACUCCUACGGGAGGCAGCAGUGAGGAAUAUUGCGCAAUGGGCGAAAGCCUGACGCAGCGACGCCGCGUGGGGGAUGAAGGUCUUCGGGUUGUAAACCGCUUUUGUCGGGGAAGAAACGCUCCGAGCUAAUACCUCCGGAGUAAUGACGGUACCUGAAGAAUAAGCACCGGCUAACUACGUGCCAGCCGCCGCCGUAAU
rnacentral:rRNA from 1 species